GACGAACGCUGGCGGCGUGCUUAACACAUGCAAGUCGAACGGAAAGGCCCUGCUUUUGUGGGGUGCUCGAGUGGCGAACGGAUGAGUAACACGUGAGUAACCUGCCCUUGACUUUGGGAUAACUUCAGGAAACUGGGGCUAAUACCGGAUAGGAGCUCCUGCUGCAUGGUGGGGGUUGGAAAGUUUCGGCGGUUGGGGAUGGACUCGCGGCUUAUCAGCUUGUUGGUGGGGUAGUGGCUUACCAAGGCUUUGACGGGUAGCCGGCCUGAGAGGGUGACCGGCCACAUUGGGACUGGGGUACGGCCCAGACUGCUACGGGAGGCAGCAGUGGGGAAUAUUGCACAAUGGGCGGAAGCCGGAUGCAGCAACGCCGCGUGCGGGAUGACGGCCUUCGGGUUGGAAACCGCUUUCGCCUGUGACGAAGCGUGAGUGACGGUAAUGGGUAAAGAAGCACCGGCUAACUACGUG
rnacentral:rRNA from 1 species